GAUGAACGCUGGCGGCGUGCCUAAUACAUGCAAGUCGAGCGAACGGACGAGAAGCUUGCUUCUCUGAUGUUAGCGGCGGACGGGUGAGUAACACGUGGAUAACCUACCUAUAAGACUGGGAUAACUUCGGGAAACCGGAGCUAAUACCGGAUAAUAUUUUGAACCGCAUGGUUCAAAAGUGAAAGACGGUCUUGCUGUCACUUAUAGAUGGAUCCGCGCUGCAUUAGCUAGUUGGUAAGGUAACGGCUUACCAAGGCAACGAUGCAUAGCCGACCUGAGAGGGUGAUCGGCCACACUGGAACUGAGACACGGUCCAGACUCCUACGGGAGGCAGCAGUAGGGAAUCUUCCGCAAUGGGCGAAAGCCUGACGGAGCAACGCCGCGUGAGUGAUGAAGGUCUUCGGAUCGUAAAACUCUGUUAUUAGGGAAGAACAUAUGUGUAAGUAACUGUGCACAUCUUGACGGUACCUAAUCAGAAAGCCACGGCUAACUACGUGCCAGCAGCCGCGGUAAUACGUAGGUGGCAAGCGUUAUCCGGAAUUAUUGGGCGUAAAGCGCGCGUAGGCGGUUUUUUAAGUCUGAUGUGAAAGCCCACGGCUCAACCGUGGAGGGUCAUUGGAAACUGGAAAACUUGAGUGCAGAAGAGGAAAGUGGAAUUCCAUGUGUAGCGGUGAAAUGCGCAGAGAUAUGGAGGAACACCAGUGGCGAAGGCGACUUUCUGGUCUGUAACUGACGCUGAUGUGCGAAAGCGUGGGGAUCAAACAGGAUUAGAUACCCUGGUAGUCCACGCCGUAAACGAUGAGUGCUGAGUGUUAGGGGGUUUCCGCCCCUUAGUGCUGCAGCUAACGCAUUAAGCACUCCGCCUGGGGAGUACGACCGCAAGGUUGAAACUCAAAGGAAUUGACGGGGACCCGCACAAGCGGUGGAGCAUGUGGUUUAAUUCGAAGCAACGCGAAGAACCUUACCAAAUCUUGACAUCCUUUGACAACUCUAGAGAUAGAGCUUUCCCCUUCGGGGGACAAAGUGACAGGUGGUGCAUGGUUGUCGUCAGCUCGUGUCGUGAGAUGUUGGGUUAAGUCCCGCAACGAGCGCAACCCUUAAGCUUAGUUGCCAUCAUUAAGUUGGGCACUCUAAGUUGACUGCCGGUGACAAACCGGAGGAAGGUGGGGAUGACGUCAAAUCAUCAUGCCCCUUAUGAUUUGGGCUACACACGUGCUACAAUGGACAAUACAAAGGGCAGCGAAACCGCGAGGUCAAGCAAAUCCCAUAAAGUUGUUUUCAGUUUGGAUUGUAGUUUGCAACUUGACUACAUGAAGCUGGAAUCGCUAGUAAUUGUAGAUCAGCAUGCUACGGUGAAUACGUUCCCGGGUUU
rnacentral:rRNA from 1 species